rnacentral:tRNA from 1 species
AGCGGGUUAGAGAAACGGUGUCUCGUCAGGCUCAUAACCUGAAGAAUGGGGUUCGACUCCCCGACCCGCAA